ensembl:misc_RNA
CCAUGGUGGCCUUUUUGAGGACAGAUGUCCAGGUCGCGCAUUUCUGGGCCGGUGGUGUGGUCGGUGACUCGACACCCCGCCCCCAGGCG